GAUGAACGCUGGCGGCGUGCUUAACACAUGCAAGUCGAACGAAGCACUUUAUUUGAUUUCCUUCGGGACUGAUUAUUUUGUGACUGAGUGGCGGACGGGUGAGUAACGCGUGGGUAACCUGCCUUGUACAGGGGGAUAACAGUUGGAAACGGCUGCUAAUACCGCAUAAGCGCACAGCAUCGCAUGAUGCAGUGUGAAAAACUCCGGUGGUAUAAGAUGGACCCGCGUUGGAUUAGCUAGUUGGUGAGGUAACGGCCCACCAAGGCAACGAUCCAUAGCCGACCUGAGAGGGUGACCGGCCACAUUGGGACUGAGACACGGCCCAAACUCCUACGGGAGGCAGCAGUGGGGAAUAUUGCACAAUGGGCGAAAGCCUGAUGCAGCGACGCCGCGUGAGCGAAGAAGUAUUUCGGUAUGUAAAGCUCUAUCAGCAGGGAAGAUAAUGACGGUACCUGACUAAGAAGCACCGGCU
rnacentral:rRNA from 1 species